rnacentral:lncRNA from 1 species
GGUUCAAGCAAUUCUCCUGCCUCAGCCUUCCAAAUAGCUGGGACUACAGGAGUACACCACCAUGCCUGGCUAAUUUUUUGUAGAGACGGGGUUUCACCAUGUUGGCCAGGCUGGUCUUGAACUCCUGACCUUAGGUGAUCCACAUGCCUCAGCCUCCCAAAGUGCUGGGAUUACAGCAUGAGCCACUGCGACCUGCCUUCUUAUUUUAUUGAAUUUCAAGGUAGAUGGUGUCAGUGUCAAACUCUGUUUCCAGUCAUGAAUUUACAAAUGUCGGUUCUCUUGAGUGCAGUUUCCCCUUCACUUUGUAUUAUAAAAUACUUGCAUCGAGCAGGGCAUGAUUUUGCCUGUCACCUUCUCCUGCUGAAACAGAUCCAGGUGUGGCAGGGCCUGAUGUUUGCCCCAGGUCUGUGUCUGGAUUCUGCUCAGAUCCACUGCCUUUGCCUGACAGUGCCUCUGAUCUUCUCAUGACUUAAACGCGAUGGAAGGCUCUUGAAGACGCAUUUAUAUUACAUAUUGGGAGGUACAGAAGCUCAGGUAGAGAAGGGCGAGUGCCUAGUGGGAAAUUCACCUGUGCCCAGUUUCUUCUCUGCUUGGUGAGCCUGGAAUGCAGAGCCCGCUCUCUGAGUCUGUGUGUGUGCCCCUCCUGCCUUUUAGAUGUACACUGUGGCUCUUCCUGCCCUCCCCCUUGUCACUACUGUCCUUUGUGCCUGGGGCCCAUGGCCUCCUCUGAUGUCAGAUCUUCUUGUUCCUGAUCCUUUGCCAGAACGCCCUUGAUCUUCUUGUGCUCCUCUCCAGCACUGGCCCUCUAGGGUGGGGGGCGUUAGUGGAGGUUUCCCAUAUCUCCAUUUUCUCUGGAAGGGAAUUGGGGGAAAGUCCUGUAUUUCCGUUUUCUCUCACUCUCUCAGUAGAAAUUCUUCAAAGUCUAAGCUUGUAGAUGAUACCCGACUACAAGAUUUUUACUGUGUCUUUGAUUAUUUUUGUUGGGAUUUGUAGAUUAAGAUGCUGGUGGUCAAACUGCUGGCUUAUCCUGUUUGAUUUUAUUGUUAUAUAUGCUUGUAUAGAAAUUUGAAAGUGAAAUUCAGAAGAUAAUUUUUUGACACCUGAGAGACAGAGUACUUCAUAAUUUAUGUCUCAUGAUAGAGUGACAGAUUUCUCUUAGAUUUGUUUGUCUAAAACAGUAAGUAUUUAGAGAAAAUUGCAUUCCAGGCAAGGGCAUGGAAUGAGCAAAGGCACAGAGGCAGGACAUAAAAAAUAAAAACAAAAAAACGUCAGGUGUUCAGGAAAGAGCCCGGCAGGUGUGAGCGUGUGGUUGACAUGACCCACCCUUCACAAAUAUUAAUCUUCCUGUUGUGAAGGUAGCAGCGGUGUCAUGCAACGCCUCCCAGAGUUAACCAUUGAAUACUUUAAAAAUCAUCAUAUACCAGGAGCUCACCUGUGCCUGGAUCAGAAUAAAUGACAACAUAACGUGAUGUCUUGAGGAAGGAUAGGUUGGUGCAAAAUUAAUUUUUGCCAUUACUUUUGCAGCACCAGCCUAUAUUUACAAUAAAUGCUACAGACAGUCACAAACAUUUGAAGACUCUAUUCUCUAACAUAACAAGGAAAGAAACAAAUUAGAGAUGUUAAAUAAAAGUUUUAAAGGAAAACAAUUACAGACAUAUACAGACAUAUAUGUGUAUGUGCUUAAAUGAGAAGACACAGAAGGCAGACUGGCGUUCAGUGAGGAGGGCCGUGCACCUUGCUGUGCUCCCUGGAGACACUGCCUGCCUGUGGGGUGCACAUCACCUGCAGUGUGUGACAGCACUGGGUGGUCUGGCCUCCAACUGUCGUUCUCAGGCAUGGGUUGUCAGCUCACAAGAGCAGAUUACUAUAUAAAAAUAACACUGGAAUAUCGGGAGUAUUUUUUCUUAAAUAUGCUUAAAAUAAUUUUUUUUUUUGAGAUGUACUCUCGCUCUGUUGCCUAGGCUGGAGUGCAGUGGCACGACCUUGGCUCACUGCAAGCUCUGCCUCCCAGGUUCAUGCCAUUCUCCUGCCUCAGCCUCCCGAGUAGCUGGGAUCACAGGCGCCCGCCACCGCGCCUGGCUAAAUUUUUGUAUUUUUAGUAGGGACGGGGUUUCACCAUGUUAGCCAGGACGGUCUCGACCUCGUGAUCCGCCGGCCUCGGCCUCCCAAAGUGCUAGGAUUACAGAUGUGAGCCACUGCGCCCGGCUAAAAUAAAUUUUAAGAAGAAAUACUGUCAGUAUUAUUUUUAGAACCUUCUAUACUUCUCACAGUACACUUGCGCACUACAGAAAAUUUGAGAAAACAUGGCCAAAUAGAGCUGGAUUUGCAUCCCAGAUUCACCAUUUAUGAACCACAUGACUCUUGUCAAAUUUUCAUCUAAAAUAAAGGCUAAUAUGUGGGAGUUCUGUGGAAAAAUUAGGUAACUUUAGACACAUGGUACCAUGCCUGGCAUAUACAGUGGAGUCAUAUCAGACACGUAUUUAUUUGUUUCAGUAAAAUUACCUAUUAUUAUUAUAAUUUUACAUGGUGGGAGCAAGUAGAACACAUGCUUCAUUUUUCUUUUAAAUGUGGCCCCUAAACACAAAGGAGCUAUUUCAUCUGGGAUGUAACUAAAGAAGGAGCCAGGCCAGGUGCGGUGGCUCACGCCUGUAAUCCCAGCAUUUGGGGAGGCCGAGGCGGGCGGAUCACAAGGUCAGGAGAUUGAGACCAUCCUGGCUAACAUGGUGAAACCCUG